rnacentral:rRNA from 1 species
GAUGAACGCUGGCGGCGUGCCUAGUACAGGCAAGUCGAGCGAACGGACGAGGAGCUUGCUUCUCUGAUUUUAGCGGCGGACGGGUGAGUAACACGUGGAUAACCUACCUAUAAGACUGGGAUAACUUCGGGAAACCGGAGCUAAUACCGGAUGAUAUUUUGAACCGCAUGGUUCAAAAGUGAAAGACGGUCUUGCUUUCACUUAUAGAUGGAUCCGCGCUGCAUUAGCUAGUUGGUAAGGUAACGGCUUACCAAGGCAACGAUGCAUAGCCGACCUGAGAGGGUGAUCGGCCCCACCGGAACUGCGACACGGUCCAGACUACUACCGGAGGCAGCAGUAGGGAAUCUUCCGCAAUGGUCGCAAGCCUGACGGAGCAACGCCGCGUGCGUGCUGAAGGUCUUCGGAUAGUACAACUCCGUUAUUAGGGAAGCCCAUCUGUGUACGUAACUGUGCACAUCUUGACGGUACCUACUCAGAACGCCACGGCUAACUACGUG